rnacentral:misc_RNA from 1 species
CUGUCUGCUUUUACUUUUUGCGCUUUUCGUUAUUAUUAUUGAUUCUCCCGUUGCAUUGAUUACUGCCACAGCCCCCCUCCCCCCAACCACAGCUCCCCACCUCACUCUACGGCUGUGGCCUUCACGCAACCAAAAGGUCCUGCGUACGCCAUCGAGCUUCUUUCUUUUCGUUUGCAUUUACAUGUUACUGUGGCGUGUUUCGAAGCUUGGCUUCAUCGAACUCUUGUCGUUCUGCCUUUCUUCAUCACCCUCCCUCUCUCCUGCGCCAUCGCAGACACACACACACACACAACGUCACAUACGCGGGGCGGAAUCUGAUUCAGCAUCGUGGAAAGAUUGAAGCGUGUGAACCGGCGCGUGUCUCUCCAUAGGCCUCGCCCCCCUCAGCCGAUACCCCUUUUCACCUCCCCUCCCCCUCCGCUUCGUUUACUCCGCCAGGUGUGGCUCCUGCUCCUUUGCAGACAGUGGCGCAUACACGCCUCAGGCGGCGACUGCACACACCGUCGCCACCUACGCUGUCCGGCAUUGCACACUGGCAUUGACUUCUCAUGCCGGUAUCUUCAGUAUCUGACUCUCUGUCGCUCAUAUAUAUUUUUCUGUUGCUGUUGUUCUGCUUGCGCGUGCUCCCUCCGCCUUUGCUCAUCCCCUCUAGUAUUGAGAGAUUUCAUACUUCCGCUCUCCCCCUCACCGCGCUACCCACGCCACUGCUUCCAAGUCGAACGCGAGUGGCGCGCUUACGAUCAUUCAAGAGCGCUCCUUCACCCUUCCCCACCUCCAGCUGGCAUCGUCGCGCUCACGAAUACGCAGGCGCGUGAGCGACGGACGUAGCCAUGCAAACGCCGACGAGCUCCUUGCUUAACCGCGACGCAGCUGAUUCGUCGUUCAUCUCGCAGGUGGUCUACGAAAACGAGGCGCUCAAGAUCGAGCUAGAGUCGCUGCGUGAAAAGCUCGAAAGCACCGGGCUGCUCCAGCUGGACGACCUCCGCUGCGAGAAUGAAAGCCUCAAAGCUGAGGUUGCGAAGCUGCGCGUGCAGCUGACCGAGAAGGCGAACCAGCUAGACCUUCACCGCGCCUCAAAUGACCGCUUCUCUAACAUUAACGAGUCGCUGCAUGAGCUGCUCACACAAGUUCAAGAACAGCGCACGGAACUGGCGGAGAUGAAGGACACAACGCGCGAAAAAGAGGAGCGCAUCGCACAUCUCACGGCUGAGCUGAUGCAGAGCGAGGAGGCGCUGAAGGAGGCAACUCAGCGGGCGAGUUUAGCAUCCGAGGAGGCGAAGAAAAUCAGCGCAGCGGCCGCGGAGAAGGAACGCUUGCAGUCGCAGCUGAACCAGGUGAAAGCGGAAAUGGAGACACUGCGGCUGAAAUCAACGCAGGAGGCCAUAGAGCUACAGAAUCAGCGGAGGGAGGCUGAGGAGCAGCUGUUGUCGGCGAAGGAGGACGCAGUGGCCAAGUAUGCUCUUUGGGAAAGGAAAGUAAGCUCGCAGCAGCAGGAAAUCAAGGAGUGUCGCGAGACGGAGGCCAGAGCGCAGCAGCAGCUGAUCGACCUUCAAGCCAAAAUGGAGGUGCUGAAGGCGGAAUGCUCCCAGCUGCGCGAGGCGAACGCGGACCUUCUUCAGAAACAGCAAGUAUCCGCGACCAUGGAGAGCCAGCGUAUCGACUUAAAUGCGCCAGAGGUCAAGGCGCAUGUCGAGAAGAUGGUGAUGCACGCGACUGAGGGGAUGGAACGGCGGCUGCGCGAACAGGUAGAUCAAAACACUUCCCUCAUCUCCCGCUUGGCGCUGAUGCAGCAAGAGAGCCGGGCGACAACGAGGCCAAAGGACACGUCAAGUCAAGGCAUUCAGUUGAUGAAGGAGCGGGUGAGCAUGCUCAAUUGCCGCAACGAUGCCCGCACAACGAUGCAGCGCCGCAUGGCAGAGCUGCUGUCGAACGAUGAGCUGAACAAGAAGGAUAUCGAGAGACUGCUGGAGGAGAUGCUCGACUUCCAGGAGGAGACAGUCCAGGAGAACCGCACGCUACUGUUGAUCAAGGAUAUCGAGUCAGAGGAGAGGGAGCGCAAGCUGGGGCAGGAGCUGAAGCGGGUGAAAAACGAGAAUGCGUCAUUGAUGAAGCAGCUGCAGGAACUGGCCGUUGAGGGUUUCCAGCGGGAUCGCAGUAACAUGCCGAACACGAGCGGAGGUGGCGGUACAAGUGAGCCCUCAGCGGGUGAUGCGGGCUCCUCGACUGCUCCUGCUGCACUCACCGGCGGCGUGAAGCCCUCUGCGUCGCCGGAAAACGAGCGUGGCAACUACCAGUUCCUUGGCAGCAGUCCUCCUGUGAUGAAGAUAGAAGAAGUUCGAGGGCCUGCGUACCCUGAUCCGUUAAACACUAGCUACAAUACACUACAUCAGGAUUCCAGAACCCCACCUAUGAUGCACCCUACAGUAAACUGUGCCCCAAUGCCUUCGCAGCAGAUGCCUGUGUACCAGCGACCUCCUGCUGCCUCUCCUUACCAGCAACCGCCCCAGCAAAGAGAGCCGAAACACCCACCGCAGUCCUACACAGGAGACCUGUGGUCGAACGCGCCGGCACGGCCGACCGCAGCACCGGCGCCCAAUGCGCAGCGAACAGCUACGAUGAUGGCGGCGGGGUACGCAGACCCGUACAGGUACCCCUCCGACGCUCCUCAAAACAAGCCAGGCGCACAACCGCCUUGGGCGCCGCGUGUCUCCGGUAAUGAACCGGAUCGUAACCGGAAUACCAGGGUGCAGUGUCCCGCAUGCACGUUUGAGCAGCAGGGCACCAACCGUCAGUGCGAAAUAUGCCAGGCGACACUGCAGCUAAACUGAGGCGAGGGAAGGCCAUCUGUCUUUGCUUGCUUCUGUGCCCAUAGAUCGCAGCGGAGAGGGAGAGAAGAGGGGGCCACACGAUCGCUACAGGUUUUCUUUUUCCGUGGUUGUUGCGACCACGUGGCAGAAAUGAUGAUGUGCUCCCUAUCGAGUGUCUGCAGGUCUGCACGUGUGGUGGGGCGCACGUUCUGUUGUAUUAUGUUUGUCUUUUCCGCCUCGUUCACAACCCAUUUUACUUAAAGAGGCCUGUAAGACGCUUACUCUCCUGGGUAAUCCGCAUUCUGGUGCAGCGGCAGGACGGCUCGUCCUCGACCACGCGGAUGUGGCCGCCGCGCCACUGGGCGUAGGGGCGCCGUGGCUGUACGCGUGCAUCUGUCGGCUUGUGCGUGGUGGACUGCAGGCGUUGAAGGCAAAAAUGAAAUUGCACCUCUUGCCGGUGGUGGUGGUGAGGGGGGCAUACGUCAGUGCGUGGUAUCACAGGGCCCAGCGUGCCCCCAAUCUCUGUGCGUGGGGAAGCCAAGCCUCCGCUAACCCCUGCUAAAUGCCCAGCCACCUCUGGUGGUGACAGGGUCAAGCGCCUACGACGUAGGGAUGGCCAGGGCGAUGUAUGGCUACCGAUGUCGGCGGCCAUGUCCUGGAUCGGCGUUGCGUCGGAGCGACCUGCGGCCGUGCACACGCUUGCGCCAUCCAUGUGAUGGGCAUCGUGUCCGUGCGAUUCGAACGUAUCUCACCCCCCCCCGGCCCUCGCACUGCCUGCUGGUGCGGGGAGCCUGAGUGUCACCCCGCGGGAGAUGCACCAGGGGUGGCGGCCGGCAUGAUGGGAGCCGCUGUGAGGCGACCUGCGAUGCGGGGGCGGUGCUCUACGGUGACCGAGUCGGCGCAUUGCUGCGGCGCGUGUGUCCAGGGCUGUUUUGCACCACCAGGCGUGGCCUGUGGCCGGCCAGGGGGCGGGGCCGGGUGGAGUGGCGUUGAGCGCAUGCUACAUGUGAGAGAAUGGAUAGGAAACGAAGGUCCUUGCUUACUCUUGUACUCGGGUGCUUCGCUUCUGCCGGCACCGCGCCUAUUUCUUCGCUGAUCGUCAUGGUUGGAGAACAUCAUCGUUCAUCUCGCCCUGUUGCGCCGUCUUUGCUUCCUUCUGCGUUCGGGGUGAAGUGCCGCCCCCCCCAGCAUGGUCCGCCAUCGCGCGUCUUCUGUUUCCUCUCUGAGCGGUUUCGAAACACAUCCUUUUUUUUCUUCGAAUAUGCUUCGUUAUGUAUCUGUGCUGCUGUGCUUCAUUCAUGCGCGCCUGUACCCACUUGCUUGUGAAACGUAGGCGAGGGAGAGGGUGGGGGUGCCUGAACACCAUGUUUUUGUAUCGGCGUGAAAGACGUAAGCAGCGGAAUCGUUUGAGCACCGCGCAUCAGGUCGGGGUUUUCGGUGCGUCUCUCUCCCUUUUUCUUCAUGUCGCAGCGCUUUUCUUCGGCUUCUGGCUUCCAUUCUUCUUUAUGUUGUAGGAGGGAGGGGGGAGCUUGCUCGCUGUUUGUGCACUUGCUUCCCCUCUCGAUCAGGGGUGUGUUCCCGUGUCUCCUGACGCCUGUAGGAGGGGUGAGGGAUUGAUGCUUCUCCUCCGUCUUUGAUUACACGUUCGCAUAGGCCCUCACUGUCGUCCCCCGUAUCCACUUCUCUCCCUCGCUCGCGUGCGCCAUCGCCGCGCCUCGCAGGAGCCUUGGCGGUGCGAGCGCUGCACGCGAAACGUGUGAGUUGUAGGAGUGAGGCCGGGGGAGCGCAGGGAAGAGAUGCAAGCUUGGGAAACGGCGCGGACGCCGUUUCCAGCUUGGCAGACAACCACCCUGAGCAACUUUUCUUUCAAGGACCAACUUCAAAGUCGAAUACG